rnacentral:rRNA from 1 species
CUUGUGGGUCGAGAUGGGGCGCGGCAGAUCUAAGGCGCACUCUUCCUAUCUAGAGAAGCACAUACAAAAAAAUUUGGCUUGGUUUUUUUGGAUGUGCUCCUCUAGCUAGGAAGAAGGAACGUAUACGUGGCUAUGAUGGUACAUCCCACCAUCAUCUUCUCCUUCUCCGGCUCUUCUAUUGCCAACUUGCUAGCAUUUUGCACUAACUUUUUUUCACUCCAACCACCGGAAUGUGACUCGUCCGAGGCAUCUACGUUGCUAGGAUGGCAUGCAAGUGUCCUAGCAAGCGUUCCCGUUCUCGCAAGCAAGCACCAGCCGGUAGGUCUAUCUUCCUACCACAUGGUUUGAGAUCUACACAUUUGGCUACCUUCCUAGGGUUUAGCUCGAUGUAAUUUCCAUCUCCCAUGUCCAUUUAACAUUGUUUGGGGAUCUAUGCUAUAGAGUAGUGCCAUGGAGAAGAUACGGUUACUGUUUCCCUGGACCUUAAUCUUACACAGUUCCUCCAUCACAGUCCCGCGACCACACCUUUGAUUUGAGGGUUCCAUUCCCCAACAAGGGUUUGGAGCAUCAAUGAGUUGAAGGCAAGAAGGACACACACACACCCAUAUGCUCACAUCGGUUUGCUCUCACACACUGUCCACGUAUGCCAUAAAGAAACGUUGCAUCCUGCAAGCAACACCACACAUUACAAAAGCUUGUCUUAUGAUUUACUCCUUCCGUUCGGAAUUAGUUGUCACAAAAAUGAAUAAAAAAGAAUAUAUCUACAACUAAAAUACAUCUAGAUACAUUCAUUUCUUGGACGAGUAAUUCCGAACGGAGGGAGUAUAUGAUAGAUUUUAAUCAUCUGUCUAGCUUGCAGGUGGUGCCUCAAGUUCAACUUUCUCCUGAUCAACUUCCUCUGCAGGGACGGACUCUUAAAUCUGAUUUGCUCGUUGCCGGUCCUAAAAUCUACUCUAAUGCAAUUUUCAGAUGUAAUAAAGUUGAGGGUUCUAUUCCCCAAGGGAUUGGAGCAUCAACGAGUUGGAGGCAGGAAGGACACACACCCCCAUGUGCUCACAUCGGUUUGCUCAGGAAGCGGCUCACACACUGUCCACAUCCAGCAGAAGGAAAGUCUUAUAUUGUGUAUGGGGCACCCAGAACGGAGAUGGCCAGAAGACAGCAGCCAGUUGUGCUGAGUUGGACGCCACCAAUGUCGGGAUGGAUGAAAUUGAACACAACGAGCCCUCUUUACAUGCAGAGAUGCAUUGGAGGCGGAACUAUGCACAUGCAUGGAGGGGCUCUCCCUGGCCAUUCAACGGACGGAUCUUCCUAUUGUCGUGGAGCUGGAUUCUCUCGAAGCGGUAUCUUUGAUAUCGGGUGCGGAGCUUGAUCGCUCAGUUUAUGCUUCAAUUGUGAAGGAGAUAAAGCUUUUGAUGAGUCCUAGACAAACUUGUAUUACUCAUGUAUCUAGAUCUCAAAAUAAAGCUAGUGAUAUGUUAGCUUCUUUUGCUAGAACUCAUGGUAGGACUAUGACCUGGCUAGGAGCUGGCCCGAGUGAGGUUUUGGAGAUUACCUCAGAUGAUUGUAAGGACAUUGUGAUUGAGUAAUACAAGUUUUCACCCCGCAAAAAAAAGUAAUUAAGAACCGAGACACAAUCGACCACGGGGUGAAGAAC